rnacentral:rRNA from 1 species
UACGUAGGGGGCAAGCGUUGUCCGGAAUCAUUGGGCGUAAAGCGCGCGUAGGCGGCCCGGUAAGUCCGUUGUGAAAGUCAAAGGCUCAACCUUUGAACGCCGAUGGAUACUGCCGGGCUAGAGUCCGGAAGAGGCGAGUGGAAUUCCUGGUGUAGCGGUGGAAUGCGCAGAUAUCAGGAGGAACACCGGUGGCGAAGGCGGGUCUCUGGGCCGUAACUGACGCUGAGGAGCGAAAGCAUGGGGAGCGAACAGG